GUUGAAACACCGAUUCCUGUACGACCACCGAAGUUAAGCAAUGUCGUGUCUGGUCAGUACCCAGAUGGGUGGCCGCUUGGAAAUACUAGGUAC